UACGGAGGGUGCAAGCGUUAUCCGGAUUCACUGGGUUUAAAGGGUGCGUAGGUGGCUUUGUAAGUCAGUGGUGAAAUCUCGGAGCUUAACUCCGAAAACUGCCAUUGAUACUGCUUAGCUUGAAUCAGGUAGAGGUGGAUGGAAUAUUACAUGUAGCGGUGAAAUGCUUAGAUAUGUAAUAGAACACCGAUUGCGAAGGCAGUUCACUAUGCCUGCAUUGACACUGAGGCACGAAAGCGUGGGGAUCAAACAGG
rnacentral:rRNA from 1 species